AAUAUCUUGCAUGUUACAGAUUUCACUACUCCCACCAGCUUGGAGACAACAUGUGGUUCUUGACAACUCUGCUCCUUUGGGUUCCAGUUGAUGGGCAAGUGGACACCACAAAGGCAGUGAUCACUUUGCAGCCUCCAUGGGUCAGCGUGUUCCAAGAGGAAACCAUAACCUUGCACUGUGAGGUGCUCCAUCUGCCUGGGAGCAGCUCCACACAGUGGUUUCUCAAUGGCACAGCCACUCAGACCUCGACCCCCAGCUACAGAAUCACCUCUGCCAGUGUCAAUGACAGUGGUGAAUACAGGUGCCAGAGAGGUCUCUCAGGGCGAAGUGACCCCAUACAGCUGGAAAUCCACAGAGGCUGGCUACUACUGCAGGUCUCCAGCAGAGUCUUCAUGGAAGGAGAACCUCUGGCCUUGAGGUGUCAUGCGUGGAAGGAUAAGCUGGUGUACAAUGUGCUUUACUAUCGAAAUGGCAAAGCCUUUAAGUUUUUCCACUGGAAUUCUAACCUCACCAUUCUGAAAACCAACAUAAGUCACAAUGGCACCUACCAUUGCUCAGGCAUGGGAAAGCAUCGCUACACAUCAGCAGGAAUAUCACAAUACACUGUGAAAGAGCUAUUUCCAGCUCCAGUGCUGAAUGCAUCUGUGACAUCCCCACUCCUGGAGGGGAAUCUGGUCACCCUGAGCUGUGAAACAAAGUUGCUCUUGCAGAGGCCUGAAGAGAAGACUCUGGGUUAUACUGGUGCGAGGCUGCCACAGAGGAUGGAAAUGUCCUUAAGCACAGCCCUGAGUUGGAGCUUCAAGUGCUUGGUGAGAAUGACGGGAAGCCACUGGCACAGAAGAAGGGACUCCCUUAUCUCCCAUGGGACUGAGGCCUCCAGUUACCAACUCCUGUCUGGUUUCAUGUCCUUUUCUAUCUGGCAGUGGGAAUAAUGUUUUUAGUGAACACUGUUCUCUGGGUGACAAUACGUAAAGAACUGAAAAGAAAGAAAAAGUGGAAUUUAGAAAUCUCUUUGGAUUCUGGUCAUGAGAAGAAGGUAAUUUCCAGCCUUCAAGAAGACAGACAUUUAGAAGAAGAGCUGAAAUGUCAGGAACAAAAAGAAGAACAGCUGCAGGAAGGGGUGCACCGGAAGGAGCCCCAGGGGGCCACGUAGCAGCGGCUCAGUUGGUGGCCAUCGAUCUGGACCGUCCCCUGCCCACUUGCUCCCCGUGAGCACUGCGUACAAACAUCCAAAAGUUCAACAACACCAGAACUGUGUGUCUCAUGGUAUAUAACUCUUAAAGCAAAUAAAUGAACUGACUUCAACUGGGA
ensembl:lncRNA FCGR1BP Fc gamma receptor Ib, pseudogene